UACGUAGGGGGCUAGCGUUAUCCGGAAUUACUGGGCGUAAAGGGUGCGUAGGUGGUUUCUUAAGUCAGAGGUGAAAGGCUACGGCUCAACCGUAGUAAGCCUUUGAAACUGGGAAACUUGAGUGCAGGAGAGGAGAGUGGAAUUCCUAGUGUAGCGGUGAAAUGCGUAGAUAUUAGGAGGAACACCAGUUGCGAAGGCGGCUCUCUGGACUGUAACUGACACUGGGGCACGAAAGCGUGGGGAGCGAACAGG
rnacentral:rRNA from 1 species